rnacentral:lncRNA from 1 species
ACCACCCUCCUCCUCCCUCUUCACCUUAAACCAUCCCAUAGCCCCCUGUUUCUCUUAGUUACACGGCCGGCCACCACCCAACCGGUGGUGGCGUACGGCGGCGGCAGUGAAUUCCGACGACCCUGAUGAUGAUGAUGAUAAUGUUGAUGAAGCUGAUGAUGAUGAAUUCAAACUCCGACAGCCGUAUCUCACUCUGUGGUGCGAUGGUGUGGAGGAUCCGACACAAAUAACUCCGGCCGUAUCAAUAACGGUGGUGGUGGGUUCGUGGUGGUGACGGUGGUGAGCGUCUAAGGUUGUGGAGGUGAUGAUUACUUCUGAUCGACUUGGAGAUGAGAUUCAGCUCGGUUUCGGUUCAGGCUCAACCAUGGUUCUGUUUCGGGUUCUUGGUUCGAGCCGGGUUAUAACGUUCCAGCUUCAUGAUGCGGCUCGGUCAACUCACGGUUCGGGUUACGUCUCGGCUUAGGUUAGAAUUUGUUUUGGUCUCGGUUCAGUUUUUUUUGGAAGUCUCGGCUUGGAUAUUUCGGUUCAACAGGUGUUAAUAUUGUUUGAUUCGGGAGUUUUGGGUCACCUAUGGGUGUUUUGUUUCAGCUUGGGUUGAUUCGGGUCAAAGAUGUGUACGGUCAUCAGGUCAGUUUUGGGUUCACGGCUCGAUUCGGGUCCAGUUAAAACCAAGUCCACUGCAGGUUCUCGUUUCGAGUCAACUGGUCAGCCGCGGUUCGGGUGCGGUUCGAUGGGCCAGAUUUUGGUUCGUAAUAAUUUUGGUCAACUGUGGUCAACCCUGGUCAACAUCAAGUCAACUGCGGUCAACAACAGUCAAACGGACCCGGAUGCUAUAGUUGCACGCUAGCCAGUUCACGUUCUUGGAACAACAUCAUAGAAACACACUAAGCUAGCUUUGCACAGAAAUGUC